rnacentral:rRNA from 1 species
CCUACGGGUGGCAGCAGUGGGGGAUAUUCCACAAUGGAGGGAACUCUGAUGCAGCGACGCCGCGUGAGGGAAGAAGGUUUUCGGAUUGUAAACCUCUGUCUUCGGUGACGAACCGUGACGUUAGUCGAUGAGGACGCCCUGGCUAACUAUGUGCCAGCAGCCGCGGCAAUACGUAGGUGGAAAGCGUUGUCCGUACUUACUGGGUGGGAAGGGAGCGUAGUUGGGAAAUCAAGUUGAAUGUUUAAGGUACGGGCUCAACGUGUACAAGCGUUCGAAACUGGUAGACUUGAGUGGAGUAGAGGUAAGCGGAAUUCCAAGUGUAGCGGUGAAAUGCGUAGAUAUUAGGAGGAACACCAGUGGCGAAGGCGGCUUACUGGGCUUUAACUGACGCUGAGGCUCGAAAGCGUGGGUAGCAAACAGGAUUAGAUACCCUGGUAGUC